GNNUCGGGGUCAAAGCCCGGUGCCGCAGCUAANGCAUUAAGNAUUCCGCCUGGGGAGUACGGUCGCAAGACUGAAACUCAAAGGAAUUGACGGGGACCCGCACAAGCAGCGGAGCAUGUGGUUUAAUUCGAAGCAACGCGAAGAACCUUACCAGGUCUUGACAUCCCUCUGAAUGGCGCUUAGCAGCGCAGGUCUUUCGGGACAGAGGAGACAGGUGGUGCAUGGUUGUCGUCAGCUCGUGUCGUGAGAUGUUGGGUUAAGUCCCGCAACGAGCGCAACCCUUGCCUUUAGUUGCCAGCACAUCAUGGUGGGCACUCUAGAGGGACUGCCGGUGACAAACCGGAGGAAGGUGGGGAUGACGUCAAAUCAUCAUGCCCCUUAUGAUCUGGGCUACACACGUGCUACAAUGGCCGGUACAACGAGAAGCGAAACCGCGAGGUGAAGCAAAUCUUAUAAAGCCGGUCCCAGUUCGGAUUGCAGGCUGAAACUCGCCUGCAUGAAGUUGGAGUUGCUAGUAAUCGCGGAUCAGCAUGCCGUGGUGAAUGCGUUCCCGGGUCUUGUACACACCGCCCGUCACACCAUGGAAGUUGGGGGGACCCGAAGCCAGUGAUCCAACCGUAAGGAGGAAGCUGUCGAAGGUAAAACCAAUGACUGGGGUGAAGUCGUAACAAGGUAGCCGUAUCGGAAGGUGCGGCUGGAUCACCUCCUU
rnacentral:rRNA from 1 species